rnacentral:rRNA from 1 species
CUACGGGGGGCUGCAGUGGGGAAUAUUGGACAAUGGGCGAAAGCCUGAUCCAGCCAUGCCGCGUGUGUGAAGAAGGCCUUCGGGUUGUAAAGCACUUUCAGUGGGGAAGAAAGCCUAGGGGCUAAUACCCUCGAGGAAGGACAUCACCCACAGAAGAAGCACCGGCUAACUCCGUGCCAGCAGCCGCGGUAAUACGGAGGGUGCGAGCGUUAAUCGGAAUUACUGGGCGUAAAGCGCGCGUAUGCGGUCUGAUAAGCCGGUUGUGAAAGCCCCGGGCUCAACCUGGGAACGGCAUCCGGAACUGUCAGGCUAGAGUGCAGGAGAGGAAGGUAGAAUCCCCGGUGUAGCGGUGAAAUGCGUAGAGAUCGGGAGGAAUACCAGUGGCGAAGGCGGCCUUCUGGACUGACACUGACGCUGAGGUGCGAAAGCGUGGGUAGCAAACAGGAUUAGAUACCCGUGUAGUC